GGAAUAUUCCACAAUGGGCGAAAGCCUGAUGGAGCGACGCCGCGUGAGUGAAGAAGGGCUUCGGCUCGUAAAGCUCUUUUCUAGAGGACGAAUGGUGCAUUGGAUGCGCAGGGACGGUACUCUGGGAAUAAGCCACGGCUAACUACGUGCCAGCAGCCGCGGUAAUACGUAGGUGGCAAGCGUUGUCCGGAAUUAUUGGGCGUAAAGGGAGCGCAGGCGGGAUGGUAAGUCCAAAUUAAAAGUGCAGGAGUAAUGCCUGUGAUGGUUUGGAAACUAUCGUUCUUGAGAGCAGGAGAGGCAAGCGGAAUUCCCAGUGUAGCGGUGAAAUGCGUAGAUAUUGGGAGGAACACCAGUGGCGAAGGCGGCUUGCUGGACUGUGUCUGACGCUGAGGCUCGAAAGCCAGGGUAGCGAACG
rnacentral:rRNA from 1 species